rnacentral:rRNA from 1 species
UUGGAGGGCAAGUCUGGUGCCAGCAGCCGCGGUAAUUCCAGCUCCAAUAGCGUAUAUUAAAGUUGUUGCAGUUAAAAAGCUCGUAGUUGAAUUUCGGGGUUCUACCGUUGGUCGGGCAAUAGUCUGUACUGGCGUGUAGAAUUUCUACCUUCUGGGGAACUAUCAUGUUAUUUAUUUAGCGUGGUAGGAAACCAGGACCUUUACCUUGAAAAAAUUAGAGUGUUCAAAGCAGGCUUACGUCUGAAUACAUUAGCAUGGAAUAAUAAAAUAGGACGGUGGUCCUGUUUUGUUGGUUUCUGAAUCACCGUAAUGAUUAAUAGGGAUAGUUGGGGGCAUUAGUAUUCAAUUGUCAGAGGUGAAAUUCUUGGAUUUAUUGAAGACUAACUUCUGCGAAAGCAUUUGCCAAGGAUGUUUUCAUUAAUCAAGAACGAAAGUUAGGGGAUCGAAGACGAUCAGAUACCGUCGUAGUCUUAACCAUAAACUAUGCCGACUAGGGAUCGGACGGUGUUAAUUUUUCUUGACUCGUUCGGCACCUUACGGGAAAC